rnacentral:rRNA from 1 species
GGACGAACGCUGGCGGCGUGCUUAACACAUGCAAGUCGAACGGAAAGGCCCUGCUUUUGUGGGGUGCUCGAGUGGCGAACGGGUGAGUAACACGUGAGUAACCUGCCCUUGACUUUGGGAUAACUUCAGGAAACUGGGGCUAAUACCGGAUAGGAGCUCCUGCUGCAUGGUGGAGGUUGGAAAGUUUCGGCGGUUGGGGAUGGACUCGCGGCUUAUCAGCUUGUUGGUGGGGUAGUGGCUUACCAAGGCUUUGACGGGUAGCCGGCCUGAGAGGGUGACCGGCCACAUUGGGACUGAGAUACGGCCCAGACUCCUACGGGAGGCAGCAGUGGGGAAUAUUGCACAAUGGGCGGAAGCCUGAUGCAGCAACGCCGCGUGCGGGAUGACGGCCUUCGGGUUGUAAACCGCUUUCGCCUGUGACGAAGCGUGAGUGACGGUAAUGGGUAAAGAAGCACCGGCUAACUACGUG